GGUGAAUGCUGGCGGCGUGGAUGAGGCAUGCAAGUCGAAUGGGUUUAGACCCAUGGCAGACGAGGUAGGAACACGUAGGUACGUACCCCAAAGUCAGGGAUAACCCGCCGAAAGGCGGAAUAAUACUUGAUGGUCUCGCGAGAGUAAAGAUUUAUCGCUUUGGGAACGGCCUGCGUUCUAUCAGCUUGUUGGUAAGGUAACGGCUUACCAAGGCUACGACGGAUAGGGGAGGUGAGAGCCUGACCCCCACGAUGGAACUGCGACACGGUCCAUACUCCUACGGGAGGCUGCAGUCGAGAAUCUUCCGCAAUGGACGAAAGUCUGACGGAGCGACGCCGCGUGGUAGAUGAAGUCCUUAGGGACGUAAAUACCUUUUAUGAGGGAAGAAGUUUAUUGACAUUACCUCAUGAAUAAGGGGCUCCCAACUCUGUGCCAGCAGCCGCGGUAAU
rnacentral:rRNA from 1 species